GAUGAACGCUGGCUACAGGCUUAACACAUGCAAGUCGAGGGGAAACGACGGGGAAGCUUGCUUCCCCGGGCGUCGACCGGCGCACGGGUGAGUAACGCGUAUCCAACCUGCCUCUGACUGAGGGAUAACCCGUCGAAAGUCGGCCUAAUACCUCAUGGCAUCGUCUGCGGGCAUCCAACGACGAUUAAAGAUUUCAUCGGUCAGAGAUGGGGAUGCGUCUGAUUAGCUUGUUGGCGGGGUAACGGCCCACCAAGGCGACGAUCAGUAGGGGUUCUGAGAGGAAGGUCCCCCACAUUGGAACUGAGACACGGUCCAAACUCCUACGGGAGGCAGCAGUGAGGAAUAGUGAUCAAUGGGCGAGAGCCUGAACCAGCCAAGUAGCGUGCAGGAGGACGGCCCUAUGGGUUGUAAACUGCUUUUAUGCGGGGAUAAAGUGAGGGACGGGUCCUUCAUUGAAGGUACCGCAUGAAUAAGGACCGGCUAAUUCCGUG
rnacentral:rRNA from 1 species